rnacentral:snoRNA from 1 species
AUCCUUUUGUAGUUCACAGCAUGAUGACUGGGUUUUUCCGUUCAUGUGUGAGAUGCGCCCCUUCAAACCUUUUCACGAUAUCUGGUGGAUU